GGGAGAAUUCCCGAGUGGCCAAUGGGGGCAGACUGUAAAUCUGUUGCGUAAUCGCUUCGAUGGUUCGAAUCCAUCUUCUCCCACCA
rnacentral:tRNA from 2 species